rnacentral:rRNA from 1 species
UACAGAGGGGGCAAGCGUUGUUCGGAAUUACUGGGCGUAAAGGGCGCGUAGGUGGCCUUCUAAGUUGAACGUGAAAUCCCUGGGCUCAACCCAGGAACUGCGUCCAAGACUGGGAGGCUUGAAUCCGGGAGAGGGAUGCGGAAUUCCAGGUGUAGCGGUGAAAUGUGUAGAUAUCUGGAGGAACACCGGUGGCGAAGGCGGCAUCCUGGACCGGUAUUGACACUGAGGCGCGAAAGCCAGGGGAGCAAACGGG